UAUCAUGUCACAUUGUUGCUUCUUUCUCUGUGAUAAGUUGCACACUUAAUCCAAUGUAUAUAUGAUAAAAGAAGACAAUGAAGAGUUCCAAGUAGGAAGUAGCACCGUGAUCCGAGUUAUAGCUGGGUAUAACAAGUUUAGACUUGACAUUCAAAGAAAAAUGUGUCAAGUUUUUUCUUUUGGCGCAGGAGGUGAUGUAUAGACUUGCGGUUGGAAGGCAUCGGAAGAACAUAUCGAGUAAGUGUCUUUUCAGGAAGGGCAAGUGACUCCACUCGGUCAGCUAUAAAACUUUCACCACCAUGAACAACAUCCAACAAGCUCUAAGGAAGAUCUCUAACAAGACCACCAACCAAUGAAGGCCCAAACACCAAAACUAAAGUCCCUAGUUGUGGCAGCCCGACGCCGACGUUCCAGAAGAUUCCCCUCUCUUUCCGUUUUCGUCGUGUGACUUAUUUUAUUUGUCGCAUCAUCAUCACAUCCUGCGCAUCAUCUGCAUUGCAUCGGCAUCUCCGUUGCCGCCAGUUUUCAAACUUGCAUCCGUUGUUAGUUGCCGGUUCGCGUCGUCGUCCGUUCUGAGCCCGACCGCACUCGCACGCGCCCGCGGCACCGUCGUAACUCUGUUUUUAAAGCGUGUAUAAAACUUCCUUUGAUCGAGUUGAGAUUUGUCGUGCGGUAUUAUUUAUAUAUAGCUAGGCCGCAUGUCAAAUUUCGUCGCGAUCGGAGUCCGUCUGGUACCCGAACGGUCGACCGUAGCGGCACCGUAUUCGGUCUACUGUCGGACGUUUGUCGG
rnacentral:lncRNA from 1 species